rnacentral:piRNA from 1 species
UGUGAGGCAAGGAUCACAAGUCACAACUGC